GAUGCAGAACGUAGCGAAAUGCGAUAAGUAAUGUGAAUUGCAGAAUUCAGUGAAUCAUCGAGUCUUUGAACGCACAUUGCGCCCCCUGGUAUUCCGGGGGGCAUGCCUGUCCGAGCGUCAUUGCUGCCCUCAAGCACGGCUUGUGUGUUGGGCCCCCGUCCCCGGUUUCCCCCGGGGACGGGCCCGAAAGGCAGCGGCGGCACCGCGUCCGGUCCUCGAGCGUAUGGGGCUUUGUCACCCGCUCUGUAGGCCCGGCCGGCGCCAGCCGACACCCAACUUUAUUUCUAAGGUUGACCUCGGAUCAGGUAGGGAUACCCGCUGAACUUAAGCAUAUCAAUAAGCGGAGGA
rnacentral:misc_RNA from 1 species